rnacentral:rRNA from 1 species
GAUGAACGCUGGCGGCGUGCUUAACACAUGCAAGUCGAACGAAGCACUGUAUUUGAUUUCCUUCGGGACUGAUUAUUUUGUGACUGAGUGGCGGACGGGUGAGUAACGCGUGGGUAACCGGCCUUUUACAGGGGGAUAACAGAUGGAAACGGCUGCUAAUACCGCAUAAGCGCACGGCAUCGCAUGAUGCAGUGUGAAAAACUCCGGUGGUAUACGAUGGACCCGCGUUGGAUGAGCUAGUUGGGGAGGUAACGGCCCACCAAGGCGACGAUCCAUAGCCGGCCUGAGAGGGUGGCCGGCCACAUUGGGACUGAGACACGGCACAAACUCCUACGGGAGGCAGCAGUGGGGAAUAUUGCAAAAUGGGCGAAAGCCUGAUGCAGCGAGGCCGCGUGAGCGAAGAAGUAUUUCAGUAUGUAAAGCUCUAUCAGCAGGGAAGAUAAUGACGGUACCUGACUAAGAAGCACCGGCUAAAUACGUG